rfam:Mycobacterium xenopi 3993 GMX3993.contig.7, whole genome shotgun sequence.
GCCUUAGCUCAGUUGGUAGAGCGCUGCCUUUGCAAGGCAGAAGUCAGGGGUUCGAGUCUUAUCUGGCG